UACGGAGGAUUCGAGCGUUAUCCGGAUUUAUUGGGUUUAAAGGGUCCGUAGGCGGUUCUUUAAGUCAGUGGUGAAAUCCCAGAGCUCAACUCUGGAACUGCCAUUGAAACUGAAGAACUUGAAUAUGGUUGAGGUAGGCGGAAUACGUUAUGUAGCGGUGAAAUGCAUAGAUAUAACGUAGAACACCAAUUGCGAAGGCA
rnacentral:rRNA from 1 species